rnacentral:hammerhead_ribozyme from 1 species
GCACCGCUGACGAAUCCUAAAUAGGACGAAACAGCUGUCCGGUAG